CUCAAUGGUGGUGCGUAAUGGGAAAGGUUUGCCCUUUGCCGUCUUCAUUGCUGGACGGUUUUCGAGCCCGUUACGCACUACCGCCCAA
rnacentral:antisense_RNA from 1 species